rnacentral:rRNA from 1 species
GUGCGAGUCCGACCGCACCGCGACCGAAACAGAUCCAGCCCUUGCUGCUCCUCGUCUCCGUCUUCUUGGCCGGGAAGAAAGGAAGGGAAAGGAAGCGGCGGAGACCAGGCGAUGGCGGCGCCGCUGGAGUUCCUGGAGGCGCAGGGCUCGACCCGGCCGGAGCUGGCGGAGUGGUACGCCGCCCUCGCCGACCUCUACCAGCGGAAGCUCUGGCACCAACUCACCCUCAAGCUUGACCAGUUCCUCGCCCUCGCCGUCGUCCAGGCGGGUGAUGCUCUGAUUCAGCUGUAUACUCAUUUCAUCUCUGAUUUCGAGAGCAAGAUCAAUCUUCUUAAAUUUGCUCACUUCGCGGUAGUAGUUUCACGCCAGUAUUCAGAUAAAGAUGCCGGUAUAAGCUAUCUCGAAGGCGUAAUUUCGAAGCUGCGUGAUACCAAGGAAUCACGGGUUGAAGAGCCCAUUCUGUAUGUGAAGAUGCAGAUUGCAAGUUUUCUUCUUGAGAAAGGGAAUCAAAAGGAGUGUAAGAAACUGGUAGACGAGGGGAAAACCACUUUGGAUAGCAUGGACGAUGUUGAUCCUUCAGUACAUUCGACCUAUUAUUGGUUAUGUUCUCAGUACCAUAAAGUGUGUCAAGACUAUUCUGAAUUCUAUAAAAAUGCUCUUCUCUAUCUUGCAUACACAACAGUGGAGUCACUUUCAGAACCAUUCAAACAGAACCUGGCAUUUGACCUCUCACUUGCUGCUUUAUUGGGUGACAACAUAUACAACUUCGGGGAGUUGCUUGCCCAUCCAAUUAUCCACAGCCUUGUGGGAACAUCGGUGGAGUGGAUUUAUCAUAUAUUGCAAGCGUUCAACUCUGGCAAUCUAGCGUCCUACCAGGAACUCUGCAAAGUUCACGCCGCCGCUUUGAGUGCGCAGCCUGCUUUGGUACAGAAGGAGAGGGAACUUCUUGAAAAGAUCAAUAUCCUUUGCUUGAUGGAAAUCAUUUUCAGUCGAGCAUCCCAAGACCGUACAAUCCCGUUGAGCACUAUAGCUGAACAGACCAGGCUCUCAGUUGAAGAUGUGGAGUAUCUACUAAUGAAGAGCCUCUCUGCUCAUCUUAUCGAAGGCAUUAUUGAUGGGGUCGACGGGACUGUCCAUGUUUCAUGGGCGCAACCGAGGGUCCUUGGGAUUGACCAAGUGAAAUCCCUGCGUGACCGGCUUGAUACCUGGGUCGGGAAGGUGCACACUACUUUGCUAUCUGUUGAAGCCGAGACACCCGACCUGGUAGCUUCGUGA